UACGUAGGGUGCGAGCGUUGCCCGGAUUUAUUGGGCGUAAAGGGCGCGCAGGCGGCUCGGCACGUCCGUUGUGAAAUCGCCCGGCUCAACUGGGCGGGGUCAGCGGAUACGGUCGAGCUUGAGCAAGCUAGGGGGCAAUGGAAUUCCCGGUGUAGUGGUGGAAUGCGUAGAUAUCGGGAGGAACACCGGUGGCGAAGGCGGCGACCUGGGUCGACACUGACGCUGAGGCGCGAAAGCGUGGGGAGCAAACAGG
rnacentral:rRNA from 1 species